rnacentral:lncRNA from 1 species
CCGGCCUUUUGUUUUGGCCUUCAUACCUUGGGCUUUUGAGAAGGCAAGUUUAUCCGAGCUGGGAGCUCGAUCUUGAGCUUAAUAUAGGUCUAUCCGAGCUGGGAGCUCGAUCUUGAACUUAAUAUAGGUCUAUUCGAGCUGGGAGCUCGGCAUUUUGCCCGAUGGCCCAUCUUUUAGCGUUAGUGUCUGUUUCAAGGUCGGCGCUUCUUGGCUAUUGUGCCCCUUCAGGAGGUCGGAACCUGAUUUUGCCUUGGUAGCUCUGGGCUCCUUUCUUUUUUGUGAGGUCGGAACUGUGUGUUAAGUUGUCCCUGCAUAUGUUAUGGGAAUUUUUCCUUUUGGGAGGCUCUUAAGUCCUUCUCCGACCAUUUUUGUUUUCAGAGGAUCUUUAUGAGACCCUGGUUGUUUUUNNNN